rnacentral:rRNA from 1 species
UACGUAGGGCGCAAACGUUGUCCGGAAUUAUUGGGCGUAAAGAGCUCGUAGGCGGCUUGUCACGUCGGGUGUGAAAUCCCCAGGCUUAACCUGGGAACUGCAUUCGAGACUGCAUUGCUAGAGUAUGGGAGAGGGAAGUGGAAUUUCCGGUGUAGCGGUGAAAUGCGUAGAUAUCGGAAGGAACAUCAGUGGCGAAAGCGACUUCCUGGACCAAUACUGACGCUCAUGUGCGAAAGCGUGGGGAGCAAACAGG